rnacentral:rRNA from 1 species
AGCGAACGCUGGCGGCAGGCUUAACACAUGCAAGUCGAACGCCCCGCAAGGGGAGUGGCAGACGGGUGAGUAACACGUGGGAACGUACCCUUUGGUUCGGAAUAACUUGGGGAAACUCAAGCUAAUACCGGAUAAGCCCUUAUGGGGAAAGGUUUACUGCCGAAGGAUCGGCCCGCGUCUGAUUAGCUAGUUGGUGAGGUAAUGGCUCACCAAGGCGACGAUCAGUGGCUGGUCUGAGAGGAUGAUCAGCCACACUGGGACUGAGACACGGCCCAGACUCCUACGGGAGGCAGCAGUGGGGAAUAGUGGACAAUGGGGGCAACCCUGAUCCAGCCAUGCCGCGUGAGUGAUGAAGGCCUUAGGGUUGUAAAGCUCUUUUACCCGGGACGAUGAUGACUGUACCGGGAGAAUAAGCCCCGGCUAACUUCGUGCCAGCCGCCGCGGUAA